CGCGCUCUCAUAGGUUGCCUCCCGCCGGCAGGCGCGCUCCUGCGACGGAGCUCUUCCGAGUAGGGCGCGCGGGGCGUGCGCGCGCGAGCGCCGUUGGUUGCUCUCGCCGCGCGCGCUGCCCGGCGCACGCCCCGCGCGCUCCUUGUUGUCAGCUGCUCGCGCGAGCGCUCCCCGCCCUCGGCGCGCGCGCCCUGUCAGCGUCUCGCGCGCCGUCUCUCAGUCCGCCGGCGGCUCCGCUACGCGACGGCGGGUUCCCGCUUCCGUCCCCGCUCCCGAGCGUCCGUUCCCCUCGCCUCGGCGUCUCCCCGCGCCCCGCAGCCUCGGCCGCGGCAGCGCGGGCCCCGCCGGCGGUGCCGCACUCGGAGAAUUAACUAGGCUUCAAAAUGAAAGUGAGGAAGAAGAGUCCUGGAAAGUGUUAAUUUGAACAGAAAGUAUUACUGGUAAGUAGAUACUUUUUUUUCUGUGAUAUUGCUGCCACCAAGACAAUAGCUAAAUGUGAAGAAACUAGAUGAGGACCUGUGCUACUUAAGUAACAACUGAAAACUGCCCUUCCAAUGGUAAAUCAGUGUCAGCUGGAAAAGGCAAACUUUGCAGCACAGAGGUCAGGUUCUUUGCUAGAUGUUUUGUGGAUGCAGUUUAUGAAGAAUGCCUUUUUUUUUUUUGAAUGUCAGGUUGUUGACAAAACUGGGUCAGUCAGACACCUGUUUCAUCUUCCUUUCCCUCUCCCCUCUAAAAAGUGAAAUUAUUUUAUAGAUGCGUUGUGUAUCCUCUGUCGUGUACAAAGUCCCUUGUCUCUAUUCUUGGGUCCUUUCAUCUGUAUCUGAGUUGCAGAUAAUUGUAUUUCUCAAAGAUAAGCAGUACUUCUGUAGAAGUUACACACACACCUGAUGCUCCUAGGUUUCUCUCUGUCAGAUCUGUGAGCAACUAGAUAAUUGCAGCUGGAAAUAAUUGUGUGCUUUGGGAUAUUCUAAAUCCAGGGCUACAUUUCCUCAAAUAGUGACAUUAAAAAUGUAAUAUUACACGUUCAUAUGCUUUUGAAGGUCUAUUCAGGAACUGUAACAUGCAUUUAAAUAAAUGAAUAAUAAUACAUCUUAAAAUCUUCUUUUCAAAUACUGACUAUAGAGUGAAAUGAACUUCACUGAAAUGUGAAUCCAGAUGUGAACUUAGAACCCAAGCCUGUUAUGACAUUAUUCUUGUUUGAUGCAACUAUAGGAAAGGCUGUUAUGAUCAGUAACGUUAGUAAUUACAGUAAGGAUAAGGAGAUGGCUACAGCUUCUUGAACUUUCAAAACUGAUGGUUUCACAACCAUCUCAGAGCAGGUUUGUUGCAGAUGAGACGCUUUUACUGUUCACACAACUUCAGUAAUGAUUGUGAAUUAAUCUGAAGACAGCUUAAGCACUCUUAAUUAUAGUGAUCUAUUUAUAUGGAAGUUUGCUGAAGAAUUUGAUGGAUGAUUUAAAAAAACAAAAAAACCUAAACAACAACAACAAAAAAAGAGUUUUGAAGAUCUUGUGGCCAAAACAGAACAAGAAUAUGGAGAUAGCUUUCCAAGCAUUCAGUUAGGUUUCCUGAAAUUGGGUUAGCCAUUGUUAACAGCCUGCAGUUAGUUGGAAGAUGUUGGCUGUAUUUCCUGAACACUCUCGCUUCACUUUGUUCUAUUUCUGACUCCUACUGAAACCGUUUGUGAAUUGAUUUAUGUCAGAAACCUAGCAAAAAGGGGAGUUAGUGGGUCGGAUUGGCUCAGAUAAGAGUUCAGGAAGUGUUAAAAUGAUGCAAAGGAAGAAAUGAGAAAGUGCAGGUGGUAGCAAUGAGUGUGAAAGCACAACCUGACCAUUUAGGCAGCAGAAAGUCAGUAGAUCUGUCCAGCAACUUGUGGAAGGGCUAUGUCAAAGUUAUUAGGCCGGAAAUAGCCAAUGUUGCUUUUGGGUAGAACAGAAGACAGCUUCUGUGGCAGUGUUGGACUAAAACUAGGUAAUUUUGCGAAAUUUUUCCUGGUCUUUGCUGUGAGUAAGGGGUGUCCUUUUAGUACUGAAUAGAAACAAUGAUUCACAGAGAAUAAGUUUUGAAAAUCCCUUAGCAGACAACAACAUCUGUAGUAGUCUCUCUCCCUCCCUAUAUGUAAACACAUGUAAAUAUGUAUCAACUUGUAUGGCUCAUGCAAACCAUUUAUUAUUAGAAUUUGCUGAUCCCUUGAACAUGCUGCCCUAGAAAUUCAUAAUGCAGCAAUUGCUCUGUCUUCUUUUACACAUUUUUGGUGUCCCUAUUUGUCUCGCUUGUGUAGUUGAUGUUACAAAGCAUUGUAAAGUUAAAAGGGUGAUCUAUAUUUGUUUUUAGUGUGAGCCUGGAUGUAUGUGUACAUACUUGUUUAUAUUUAGUUUCUGUAGUGCAGUUUGCACUGUGCUCACACUUCCUUGGUUUGUCAGUGGUGGUGGCAGUUGUUCCUCUGUUUAGAGAAUCAGUCCUUCUAUCCUAACUAAAGGAACACUGAGGUUUAGAACUACAUGAAACUCCGUUUUGCUUUUUCUGUUCAAUUUUUGUCAGAGGACAAUUAAGAGGACUUGUACAGGCCUGAAAACUGCACUGUGUAGGACAUAAGUUUUAUAAGACAUAAGUUUAGCUGGUGGUUUUGGAUUUAUUGUUCAACUACUGGGGCAGAUUAGACCGUGGAGGAAAGUUGAUUUGAGCUUAACGUCUUGGUAGUGCUGGUAGGUUGAGAAAAAGUAACUAAGUGAUAGAGGAAAACUGAUACCUAUUCCUUAUUACUUGAUUCUUCAGUCUGGGGUUGCAUUCAAUUCCUGCAUCUGGGUCGACUACAUAACGAUUGCAUUCAAAACUAUUCUCUGUUGUCAAAAUCUGGUUGGGGAAAAAAGUUUUUAAUCUGUCUUCCUGUUUUAUUUAUUUUUUUCUUGACUCUUCUCAGAUGUAUAAAUACUUUUGGUGGUCUUUUCCUUUAUUUUCAAGUCAAGUUUCAUACUUAAUCUAAUCCAUUCCAUCUGUGAAUUGCAAUUUUGCAAUUUAUUAGAAUAGAUGAAUGGUGAAUUUUUCAUAAUCUAAAAGACAUUUUAAUCCUUUAUUGAAAAUGCUGGAAGUUGUUUUUUGUCUAUGAUAGACUUUUGAAGAUACAUACAAGCCUUUUUCAGAGAGUAUUUGUUGAGUUUUUGGUUUAUUGAAUGGUCACCUGAAAUCUUGAAUAGAUAUUCUUUAUUUCUACAUAUCAAAAUGUAUCAACAUGUGAUCCCCAAUGGAAAAGAAAAAUAUCUUUCCAAAAGAAUACGUUGUUUAUUUAGCUGCUUCUUAUCAAGAUCAAAGCUGAACCACCCCUAUGUGUUUCUAAAGUUUCAGUCUAGCCUCUUUCUUGCUUGCAGAAACAGCAUAUAAUCUUUCUGCAUGUAACAGUGAGUUUUGUAUUUUUAUUUUUUUGGAUGAAACAUUUCCCUUUAGUGGUCUAAGUAACUUUAGAUCAUGAAUUGAUCUAAAUUUAAAUAUUCCAGAUCUUAAACAUUGGAUGUGAAUAUGAGAAGUUAUUCUGGUAGAUAUUAUCUGGCUACAAAUUGGUGUUUUUAUAGUGCCUGAACAAAUUUCAAGUAUCAUUGAUAAUUUACACCAUUUAUAAUGUCUGAAGUUAAUCUUUUACACCAAACUAAGGCAGAAAUAUUGAGAAAUUAUUUAAGGAGGUAAGAUCAGAGGAAAAAGGUAAGAAUAAACCAAGAGGUGAACAAACAUGAACUUACAACUUGAAAUAAACAUAUGUAUGAAAUAAUAACUUUUUCUUAUUUUGGAAUUGAAAAGCAUUUAAUUCAACUAAAUAAUUGAAUUACUUCUUAUAGGUUAUACUUGUAGUAUGUCAAAAUUUGGGAGAUACAGCUUCAGAAUGUUAAUAUAAUGAAAGCUUACGUGUCCAUUCCUUUAAUCAGAAACAUAUUUUGUAAUUUUUAUAAUUUGACCAGUUGAAUGAUUCUAACCUGUUCUUGCCAAAUGUCAUUGUCUGUCAUGCACCAAAUAUGUAUGCAGCAUAUGAUCUUCAUUUGGGUAUUACAUAAAGACAAAGACCUGUAUCGAUGUGAUAAUUCAAUUUUUGUGAUAACACUUUCAGAUCUACUUGGUAUCCAAUUCUUUGUUCUGUAAACCUGUUGUUCCCUUUGACCUGGUCUUUUUGACUUUGUUCUGGCAGCUGUCAGCUACCAGUAAAAGUGGGAGAAGAUUAAAAAAAAAAAAAAAAAAACAAAAAAACCUUUUGGAAACAUUCAGUAGUUUCUUUUUUAUAUAGUAUGAUGUAAUCAUAUUACACUUAUUACAGUACUCUAUUGUGCUUAUAUUUUGGUUAUUAAAAGGUAGCUAAUAAACUCUUCAGAAACUGACAGAACCUAUUAAUUGUUUUUGCACUCAAGCUAUUCCUUUUCUUGGUGUCUUGUUUUGUUUUUAAAGAAGCGCUGAAAUAAACCCGAGUCUAAAGAGAAUGAGAAAAAUUAAAUGCCUUGCCAAUUAUAGAGUGAUGCACUUGAAAUUGAUCCCAGUGAUACUCAUACUAACUUUUUAAUCAGAUUGAUCUUUCCUGGAGAUAUUUGUUGUAAUUGAUGCUGACUGUGUUAGAAUUGGUUAGUGAAUUAAAAAGCGUUACUCAACAGGGAACUUUCAUACCUUCAGGAAGGUUGCUUUAAGGCUGAAUACUGGGGGCUUUUUAGUCCUUGUCUUUGCUAGCUCUUGGAAAUAAUAUAUGGCUCAAAAUAAAUGUGUAAAAUGCUAUGUUUAAUUAUAUAACAGUAGUGUAAUACUAGGAAUAGAUCACUAAUGGUUAAAUUGCUUGGUUAGUUGGGCUUAUUUGAAGAACUUGCAUUUGGAUAGAGUCAAAUAUGUAAUGUAUUAGUGUAGAUAACACUUAAGGUUAGAGAUAGAAUUUGUUAUUAGAUGCUUGAAAAACUGAUCUUGAUUAGGAAAAAAUGAGAAAAUAGUUUGAGAGAGGAAUUUUCUGAGCUUCUUGCAGUUUUGAAAAUAUAAAGGCUCAUCAGGAAGCAGAGAUGGGAGGUAUGAUGCAUUUAGAGACAGUGCAACAGGACUGUAUAGUACACUGUCCACUUGAGAAUGAAAAAAAGGGAAGAUGUCAUUGACUUUGAAAAUGGAACUGAAAUCUUACUUUAUUGCUGAGGGAAUGAAUGUAUUACAGAAUAUUACAGUCAUACCAUUAUGCUUCUCAGUAUCAUGUUUCCUUCUGCUAACAUCUUAGCAACUGUCUUACUUUUAGCCAAAUUCAGCAUAUCACUGGCAACAUUUUACACCAAGUUCUAUGUAAAACACAGUGUGUAACAGCAGUAGGGAUAUUAAAUACAGUGAAAUCUGUCCUUGUCUUGAGGCAUUACAAGCUUCUUUUCAAUCAAAUGAGUAUUAAAGGGUCAUGUAACAUCAUCUUUUACAGUAGUUUUAUCACUCCUUUUUUCUCUUUAGAAAUAUUUUUCCUGCCAGACUAAGUGUAGAAUACUUAUGAACAAAUAUUUGCAUAGUAAUUCUGCCAUUGAAUAUAUGCUUUUCCAGGAAAAAUGCAAAUUAGUUUUUAGAAAAUCCUGUUCUUAAGAGUCCUUUAUGCACCUUCCUGCCCAACCAUGUUAAUUAAAAUUAAUAAUAGAAUGUACUCCUUUUACUCCUAUAUGUAAGAUUGGCUUAGGAAGGCAGAACUCGUAUAUAUAUCUAUUCACUCUUGAUCUGUCUCAUUUUAGAACUUCCAUUGCCUUAAAAUGUUUUUUUUUCCCUGCAUAUUACAAUUGCAGUGCUACACAGGAACUAAUGUAUUUAAUAUCUCUCUAUAUGCAGUGAUUUCUAUUAAGUUCAUAUUUCCUAUUUCCAAUUGAUUAUCUGGUGACUGAUGGUAGUCUGGGAUUGCAAACUUCCAGAAAGCAAUCAUUCCAUUUUCCCGCAUUACCAAAUGACUUUGACUGCUGUCAGUGGUGGUAUAUGGCAGUCAUGUUGGCAUGAAUGUAGGCUUCCUGUAUUAGAAGGAUGCGAGGAGAUUGCUCAUUGUCCUAUGACUGUAACAGUGAAUGAUCUUAUAACUCAGAGCUUUUUUUUUUCUCACAGACCCAAAAGCACCACUCAGGACUGUGCAGCUGGUCUAUGAAUGCUUGCAGCAGUUGGUGAUUUUUAUGCACCAUCUGUAUCAUGCAUCCUUUCUCCUUGAUUAUCUUGUCUUCAUUUCAGAUUGAUUUUGGUAGUUGCUGAAGUCAAGCAAAUAUGGAAAAAUUAUGUGUGCUUUUGUUAUAUGCACAUAAUACUCAUCUGAGAAGGAUAUUUCUUUGGAAGGGUGGCAGAGUGAAAACUAGUGUAAGGAGCUACAGAUAUUUUAGGAAGGGCUCCCUAAAAAGCAAUUAAUGGGAACUCUGAGUUUUCUUAAUUCCUUAUUGCUGUGAUUAGUACCGCACAGAACGUUGCAAAGCCUUCUAGUAAUCAUAUCUUAGGCAAUGAUGACUCUGGAAUGUCACCUGUAUUGGACACCUUUCUGUUGAUGGAAAAUCUUGUGAACAGGAGCUGGAACAUUGGCAAGGACAAGUGCAUGUGCGCUGUAAUCUGUCACUAUUAACAGUACAUUUGUUCUUAAAACUUUUUCUAAUAUAGCAAUACUAUUAGAAUAUGUUCUUAAGUUACUUUACUCAAAGUAUUUUAUGGUGUUUGUACUUCUGUUACCGAACUAUUUGUAUUUUAAAUUAACAUCCAGAUCUUAGAUACUUGCACUAAUUUAGUCUCACUCUUUUUCUUUUUUCCAAUCAACAGCUCUCUUUAUUUUCUUACGCUCUUUCAGGUUGUUACCUGUCUUCCCUAGGGGAUUCCAGAAAAGUAACUUAUGUGUACUUGAAACCUCUGUUUUUCAAUUAGUAAUUGCAGCUAUUAACUUGUGGAUAGUUCUUAAACUGUGUUACAGUAAGAAAUAAUUUGUAUGUGAACCUGAAUUAUUAAGCUUUGUUGGAGGGAGGAAGAUAAUUAGCACUGAUACAUCUAAAAUUAUUUUGCACAAAUUGUAAAUUGAACAUUCAUUGUAUGUCAGUACUUUGCAAUACAUUUGAAACCAUGCAUUUCUGAGAGUGGCUUAUGUUCUGGUACGUACACUUUGAGUCAAAAGUGAUAGCAUGUACAUGUAUUCCAAACAUAAUACAGAAUCACAAAACUGUUAAAACGUUUCUGAUGUCUUUCAACUGGUAACUUACGGUCUUCAGUUUUUGCUGUUCAGUGCGAUAGCAGCAAUCCAGGGUAUGCCAGUAGGAUGUGCUCAGUAUCAAAUAAUCUCAUGAGUUUGGGGGCAUUUUACAACAACACUAACACUAGAGUUUGUUAUUAUUUUGGUGCUUUGCUAGAGCAGAGAGCAUAGGAGAGGAUGGUGUUAAGGAUGAAGAAAAGUUAAGCUCUGUUCACAGAAUUGCUGCAGUGUAAUUCAUGUAUUCUAAUGGCUUCAGGAAGCAUCUUAAUAACAUAAGUGCUCCCACCCCCUCACUUUGCUUGUUUCUUCCACAUACGUGCCUUUUGAAGUAGGGAUCUUUCAGGCUUGAAUUCUGUAAAUCCCUCCAAGUUUUCCACUCCUGUGUUGUGGCUUUUUGUUUAUUUUUUUUCCCCAUUAGUCCUAUAUUGAAUGAUUGCUCAUUGCCUGCAUUUCAUUCUUUCCUUUGCAUUUACUGUUACAUAACUUAGUAACUGGUUGUAAACAAAUCAUCUGGAGAUGGAGUAGAUGACAGAGAGCAUGAGAUAUUUCCCUGAUGCAUGCCAAAUGCGAUUGUUAGAUUCUGUACGAUUUCUUGACAACUACAGAUCUUGUCUAGCACUGUAUAUACUGAGACUCAAAACAGGCUAUAAAGAAGCAUCAGAAGAAUUAACUGACUGAUAAUUUGAACAGAAUGUUCUUGCAAGUUUGUACGUCCAUGCAGGUAUGCUUUGUCCAAACCUGUAGACUUUCACCAAGUCACUGCCAGCUAUUUUUGUUAGUGUUUUGUAUUUCAGCAGGCUCUACAAUUCUGCUUUUUUUUUUUAGUGACCUUUAAAGUGAGUAUAUACCCACAUGCAUAGAAUGGUUUUCGCAUUUAGAAUCUAUGCUUUAUAGCCGUCAGAGUAUAAACAAAUGCUUUGUCAUUUUUUCUUUUUGUAUACACCUACAUUUUUUUCUGAAAUACAAUUUGUUACUCUGCUUAAUGCUUUUGAUUCUUUUUAUCUCAUUCUUAGGCAGUUGUGAUGAGUAAUGAACUGUCUUACUCAUCUAAAAAUUGGUUGUAUUUAUGAAUUGAUUAUCUUUCUUCAGCUGCUCAAUAUGACUACUGAAGACUCCUGAAGGCAAGAAGAAUUGUGCUGUGUCCCCCCCCACUUCUUUUUCCUCUGAACUAAUUCAUUCUGUUAGAUUCUGAAGAAUGUUUUUUCUGGGUGUUUUUUUUUUUUUUCCCUGUCAUUUUAUUAUACAAAAUUCAGGAACAGAUUGGAAAUAAGUUUUUCUUAAGUGAGCAAGUCAUUUUAUAACAAGCUAAGAACAAGAUGAUCACUGAAAUACAUCUUUAAAAAAGUGUCAAUUAUGAGAACUCUUUUGAGGUUGUUUUGAUAGAACUGAUGGCAGCUCAAGGUGUUUAGGGGAAACUAGCAUUUAUUAUCAGGGAAAAAAAGGAUUUUUUUUGGUCCCGCUUUGUUUUGUUAUUGGUAAUAAUCUCCUGAACAUUUUAAAAUCAUCUGCAUUUCUGGAAUUACCAGAAUGAUAAAUACAUAAGGAAUAUUUUGAUGAUUGAUUGAGAUGAUUUAUUAGGUUUCGUGCCUUUUUUGUAUCCUAAUAGUGAUUUUUGUUUAUGAAAUACUUUUAAGUCAAGCAGAGGGGAAAAAACAAGAAGCAAACGUGAAAAAGCUUAUGUAAAAAGCCUGUAUUGUACAGGAGAAGGCUUCUUACACAGAACUGAAGUGAUUAUCCGCACUGUUCACUGACAAUGUGAGUGCUGUUUUCAUAGGAUGUAGCUCUAUCUCAAUUGGUUAUAGUCUAUUAGUAUCAGAUCCUGUUCGUAUUUAUUUAAUACAGUUAAGUUUGUUGUAUAAUAUUAAUUGUAUUGGUAUUUGUAACAGGAAAAAAUAGAAGAUGACAAUUUUAACAGAACCCUAUUUUAAAAGAAUUCCAAAGGUUGUGUUGGAGGCAAAAGAUCUGUAAAUUUCAUUUUUGUGCCAGGCAAAUUUGGAGAAACAUUGAGAAAGAGUAGUUGGAUAAAUGCCCAAGUGUGGUAUAUUGGUUUGUCAAGUGAUCUGAUCAGUAAGCUGUACUUAAGUUUUCUGUUGUUUGCAAAGCUUUUCAACACUCACUGCUGGGAGAAUGAAGAUGUCCUGUAAUAAGAGAAACUGACAUUUUGUGAACAUGUAACUCAGUAAGGGAACAGGAAAAACUGGAAUGUAUGGUUGUUUUUCUUAAUAAAUUGUAGUGCAAGGAUGAAUCUUAUACCACUCAAAGAACAGUGCUGAAUCACAUGUAACUCAUCAUAAGAAUAAAUUAUCAGGAAAGCAGAGACUCAGAGUGUUUCUAAAUAGAUUGUAUUGAAAACUUUAGCAUUAUAUGCAGAAUUAAUCUUGACCUAGUGUCAAUUUUUGUGUCCUCAUCUCUUACAUGGAGUAGGAGUGAAGAAAGUUAGCAAUGAGCAUGUAUUGGGAUCUGGAGGAGCUCUUCCUUUGGGUAGAUAAUGCAUUUUAGAAACAUAACAAACAAUCAGAAUUAAAUGAAAUAAACCUACAAAUGUAGCAUUUUAUGAAGAAAUGGUUAUGUGUUAUUCAGUAAGGCACUUGAAUAUCAUUUUACACACUGUUUAAAAAAGUAAAAUAGCAACAGAAACUCUCAGACCAAAACAACAACAACAAAAAAAUCAACCAAACUAUUUUACACCUCUACACUUGAUAGACAUAAAUUUUCAUUGGGUACAAAAGAAAUUGUUCUUCCUUCCCAUGUGCCCCGAGCCUUUCUGUAUUUCACUGAAACUGUUUUUAUGCACUUAAAUAACCAGCAAAUUUUUCAAUUUAGUUCAAUGUGUGUUGGUUCAAGUUUAGCAAAAUGUCAAAGUAGUGCUUCGAGUUCAUUUCUGGUUCAAGAAAAAGAGAGAUUUUAAGUGAAAUUUUUGAGUUCAAUUCAACUCGCUGCAUUAAAGCCAUAAUUCAAAACAGUGGCCUUCAACGUUCCCGAUCUUAGUAUCCAUUGCUUAGGGAAAAGAACUGAAUCUUUUUGUGUAGCAGUUGUUGCUGUUUAUAGCAUAAAUAAUUUAUUUUUGUGUAUGGUAAUAUGAAAACUCAAAAAAAUUUUAAAGUAUUUUCCAUAAUCUGAAAAUGCUUUUCUAUAUUUAUGUAUAACUGAGUUUCUUUUCAUUUUUUAAAAAUUAUUAUUAAAUAACUUGAAACAGAUUCUUUGGCAUUUGUAAAUCCAGUGGUAAGCACACAGUUAUUCUUCCUAGCAUCAGCAAUGUCUUUCAGUUUGAGAAGUAUUAAUGGAGCCAUAAAAAGCAGAUCUGCAUGGUGCUUUCUUUUGGUUUUUUUUUGUUAAAUAUACACUGGAUCUGAACUUUCAGUCACCCAGUGCUAAUUUAGAUUUAAGUCUCCCAUCAUUGCUCUAAAAAUAAAGGCAUACUGAUAUACUUAAAAUGCUUACUCAAUUGCAUGUAUGUUUUUAAAAGUUUAAGUUCUUAAGUAUGACCGAAGUAAAUGAUUAAAUAAAGCUGCCCAACUCAGGGUAUUUUAGUUAAUGAGAACUGGAUCAGAAGUAUUCUUUUUUUCUGCAGCCACCUGUGUGAAUCACAGUGGGAUAAACUCAGCUUAGAUAAUUUGCCUUUUGUUGUUGCGUGGAGUUUUUCUUUGAGAAAUCUUAGAGUCACUUUUUUUUUUUUUGGAAUAUGAGUAACUUAAAGAAGAAAACUUUAAAAUGCUAUGUAUAAUAACCAGUGAGAGUAUAUCUAAUAACCGGUGGCAGCUUACAGUAUAUAUGCUCACAACUCCCUUUCCCUAAAGGAAAAUUAAUACCCUCCUUAAUAUUUAGUAUUUGAAAAUAAGUUUCUGAAAAUCAUGACCUGAAAAAAUACCCUAGUUCUGCUGCUGCAGCAGAACAUCAUAAUAUUGCAUGAAUGUUCUCAAGUAUGGCUGGUUAUGUUUUUUUGUCUCCUUUUCCUUCAGUGUUGCUGUCCUCAAUGUCAAUUUGAAAUUAUUUAAUAAAUAGAUAAAAUUCCCCUGUCUGUCGUAUUCAAAUAGCUUCUUUUUGACUUGGCUUAUUUAAGAAAGCUUACAUCAGUUUUGACUUUCUCAUACAUGGAUGCUGAUGUCACCUGAUGCAGAAGUCAUAUUUAGCAAUCUGUUACUGUGCUCUCUGCAGCCCUUUUAAAAAGCAUAUGGUGAUGCUCUCUUCCCUUGCUAUGGAAUCUAAAGUGAUAAGAUAACAGCCAUGAAUUUCACAUUAUUUGAAUUCCAUUACCAUAGGUGUAGGGAGUGAUUUAAGUUCUUUCAUAGUAACUGCUUAUGCAUGUACUUUGUUUAGCUUUCCUGCUAUGGCCCUGUGUUUAAGCUGCUGUAGUUUAAACAUCAUUUUGCCCUACAGAAUCCUCAAGUGUUUUAGUUCUAUUAUGCUUAUAAAAAUGUCUCAUAAAAUCCAUAAAAUCCUGUCUUUUGACUCAGGCAGGCUACCAUAGGGCUUCAGUAGCGUUAAGCAUCUGCUUAUCUAUGUGGGUGAUUACAUUUCAGUUAAAACCUGCCUUCCUGUAUCCCUUAGGAUUCUUUUCGUUAAAAAUUGACUCUCUAUGUGAGAAUGAUAUCAGUAUCAUCUAAGAUCAGGUUUAUGAGACCCUUUCUGUCUUAUUUUCUUUCUUCUUAUUGCCCCUUGGCCCAUGAACCUGGAGCUGGUUGCUGGAGAUCUUUAAAUGUCUUCUCAGUGUACUUCUCUAUGUAAUAUCUUUGAUUUUUAGCAAAACCAACUUAAAAAGCCAGAAUUCAUUUCUGAGUACUCCAAGGUAGAUAGUUGUGUAAAUAAUGUUUGGGAUAUUUGGGGGUGCUCCUAUCCUCCACUUUCUUCUGCUGCCAUUUAGGUUUUAAUUCUAAGUUUCUAUGUUGACUUUUAAAUGGGAGGUUGUAUAAAUCUGUAUGACUGUCUGGAACAUGGCUUGUCUUUCACAUCAACGUUGCCACUGCUAAAAUGCACCACCCACUGCCUCACUCUGCUCACAUUCAUCAUUUGGUCUCUAUGAAAGUUCAGCAAGUGUCAGUGAGUGUCAGUGGGUGCCAUUUUUUCAGCAUGGAGGAAUUCAAUUACACCACUUUCCUUCAUAUGCAUGUCCAUGUCAGACGUCAUUUUGCCAGGUGGCUUCUCUGCUGCCAUCUGUUGCGUGGCAACAACAUGUAGCAAAAUAUUGGUGGGAAGGUUCAGCCUCUACUGCCAUACCUCUAGCAUCCAGCUCCUACAUUGUAGGCCAACAUAAUAAAAUAGGAGGCAUUACUUUUGGAGCAGUCAUUGUAGAUCAAUCUGUAAUUGGACAUAUUUUACUGGACUAAGUCUCUGAGACUGGCAUGAAAUUUUCAUCUGUCACUGGCCUCUGUGUGGCAGGACCCUGCAGUAGAAGUGUCUCCUGAGUGGGGGCUGUGGCUGGAGGUGGCUCAGAGCCACAGAGAGCCUUUUAGAGUGGAACAGCACACCUCUGCUCUGAUGUGGCUGCUAAAAGUGGGUGUCCUAACAAACACCACACAGAAAGUGGGAACAAAAAGAUAACAUCUGAUAUAAAAGAAUAAGAGUUACUGAAAGAAAUGCCACUUGUGAGGUCAAGGAAUUAUGGCAUGCUAAAGAAUUUCAAUGGUCUUUCACAGUUUAGUUUUGUUUUGGUAGUAAAAGCACUGUAGAAAGCAGUUCAUUUUAAAUUAUGAGAUAGUGAUUCAGUGUGAAUCUUUUUAUUUCAAUAAUGAUCACUUCAGACAUUUUCUCUCUGAUGUGGCCCAAUUGAAAUCAUAUUUUGACAUAUCUGUUGCUCAGUUGUCAAAUCACCCAAUCUCCAACUCACCCAUGUGUAGCAAGGAAGGCUUUUAGCUCAGUUCUGUGACUUUUCCAGCUUCUGGAUAUGGUACAGCCUUGCCUAUACGAGGAGUUUGCAAAACCACCUGGUUGCAAAGAGAACUCCAGUUUUCUUAUGGCUGUCAAGCGUUUUUGCAUAAAAAUUACGAACUCAGCUUACUCAUCUG
rnacentral:lncRNA from 1 species